GCAAAUCCCACCUAGCCUUCUCGUUAUCUUUUGUUUUACCGGACACAUCCAUCACCGUGUGUAGUAUAUUGUCACAAAAAUUCUUUUCAAUAUGCAUGACAUCAAGAUUAUGUCUCAGUAAAUUGUCUUUUCAGUAAGGGAGGUCCCAAAAAAUACUUCUUUUAGUCCAAUUGUGCUCUUCCCCGUAUCCAUCAUAUCUGAUCCUGUGGCCAACAUCUGGAAAUUUCAAUAGUCCAAGUCCACUGACUUUAUGAAAUACAUCGUAUGAUGUUAUCUUAGGAGGCGGACCAUCAAUCAGUUUCUGUUGUGUCUAACUUAAACAAAUUCUUUUUCUUCCGAAAUUGAUGAUUUGCU
rnacentral:lncRNA from 1 species